rnacentral:rRNA from 1 species
AGUGAACGCUGGCGGUAGGCCUAACACAUGCAAGUCGAACGGCAGCACAGGAGAGCUUGCUCUCUGGGUGGCGAGUGGCGGACGGGUGAGGAAUACAUCGGAAUCUACUCUGUCGUGGGGGAUAACGUAGGGAAACUUACGCUAAUACCGCAUACGACCUACGGGUGAAAGCAGGGGAUCUUCGGACCUUGCGCGAUUGAAUGAGCCGAUGUGGGAUUAGCUAGUUGGCGGGGUAAAGGCCCACCAAGGCGACGAUCCGUAGCUGGUCUGAGAGGAUGAUCAGCCACACUGGAACUGAGACACGGUCCAGACUCCUACGGGAGGCAGCAGUGGGGAAUAUUGGACAAUGGGCGCAAGCCUGAGCCAGCCAUACCGCGUGGGUGAAGAAGGCCUUCGGGUUGUAAAGCCCUUUUGUUGGGAAAGAAAUCCAGCUGGCUAAUACCCGGUUGGGAUGACGGUACCCAAAGAAUAAGCACCAGCUAACUUCGUGCCAGCCGCCGCCGUAA